rnacentral:rRNA from 1 species
GGGAAACUCACCAGGUCCAGACAUAGUAAGGAUUGACAGAUUGAUAGCUUUUUCUUGAUUCUAUGGGUGGUGGUGCAUGGCCGUUCUUAGUUCGUGGAGUGAUUUGUCUGCUUAAUUGCGUUAACGAACGAGACCUUAACCUGCUAAAUAGGCGCUUCUAUCUACGGAUAGAUUAUGUCUUCUUAGAGGGACUUUAUGCGUUUCAGCAUGAGGAAGUUUGAGGCUAAAA